ACUCAGGUGUCAGGUGGACCGGGCGCCGGCAGGAACCCAGGCUCCAGCGAGUGCAGAGGGAGGCUUCUGCCAGCCGCCUGGCCAUGGGACUGAGUGGAGCAAGACCACCACCGGCCCUGCGCUCCUGGCCAUCUCCCAGUAGAAAAGAGGGACAAGGACAGCAGCGGUACUGGGCUGGCGCCAACCCCGCCACCUUACCUGUGGACGCCACCCUCCCUGUGGACUCGAUCCCCAGAUCCCCAGGCCACACGAGACGCAGCCUCCUGGUCCUCCUCCUCCCCUUGCUCCAGGCCCCCGGGGCCUCCCCCCUCAGAGAGGAUGCCCAGGUCACCGUUUCUAUGCUCCUCUUAGAACACUGAACCUGGAUGAAAGGUCGCCAAAAGCCCAUCUUGAAACAUUUGAAGGCCCAAUCAGAGUGGGAUCAAGGGAAAUGUCUACACUUCUACAAGGAGCCAGUUUGGGAUCAGCACCCUCCUUCCUCUCCUGGGAAAUGCAUAGGCACAUGGCUCAAUCUCAGGCUGGGAUCAACAGAGCAUCCUGACUCUCUAGUUGCAGUGAUUGGUCCAAGGACUGGCAUGUGACCAAAGCCAGGCAAUCAGAGGCCUUGCUCAGGAUUAUUCUGACUGAAGCUGACAGGGAAGCCUCUUACUUUCCUCUUUAUUUGUUGUUCCUCUUUCUUUGUGGAUGAAUGUGGCGUUAGAGUUAAUGGCUUAAUUCUCACUGUAAGGCAAUGCCUAAGGACAAGAACCCAGCACCAAAGAGGAGAAAGGAAGUGAGAGUCAGGGCUCAAGAGAUUCCUACAUUUUGUGAUUUCACAUCACAGCCUGGAACAGCCUCCUUUCAGCACUUAUUUCCUCAGUUCCAUGACCCAUCUAGCAUCCUUUCUGAUAAAUCCUUCCUGUUGGAUUAGGAUUGUUUGACUGAGUGGGUAUCAGUUGCAUGCAAUGUCAAGAGUUGUAACAAAUUAUAUUCUCCAUUUCAUAACUUAUUUUCUCCCUAGUCACUUGAAGGAAGGUCCUUGGUGUCCCAUGGAAAAAGUGAUAUAUAUAUAUAUAUAUAUUUUUUUUUUUUUUUUGCCUUGCUUCCAUAUAUUGUUUGAGGUUGGCGUAACUUCUACUGAAGCCUAAACUUGAACUAAAAGUUUAAUCAACCAAACUUGAUUUAAGUAAUUUUGAUAAUGUCACUCAGUUUUAGAUGAGCAGUCUUUAAGAACAACUUCACAUUUUAAAAGACUCAUUGGACAACUGCUGCAGCAUAGUCACCUGACUUCACUCUGCAAUCGCCACCUAUGUGCUCUGGCAAGCCCUAGCAAUUUCACUGGUGAUGGGGAGGAGCCGAAGAAAAUCUAAGGAAUAAAAUCAUGGAGGAGUCUGUGGUUCCAUGGGGCAGCUUCCUGUGCGUGUGCAUAUAACAGCAAGAGGGGAUCAAAAUCUUUCCCUACCAAUAUACUGUAUUCCUUUGGCCUGCAAGCUUUCUCAAAGCUCAGUUAUAUUCUGAGUUUGAAAUGGCAAAAUAUCUACUCCAGAUUUACUUUUUUUUCAAGUGCUAUAGACCAAGUCAGAAGAGCAUUUAGAAAUGUGCAUGCAAAAUAGUUACUCUCAAGGAGGGUUUAAAUUAGGGACAAGUUCUCAGGAUUGACAUGCAACUUUCCAGGCACCAUGUACAUUUGCACAGUAUUCUAAUAUUUUGUGUGUGAUAUCAUCACCUUUUAAGACAUCAUCAAAAAAACUGAGCAUAUAAUAAAUUAUCAUCAGUCAUGGAUUUAAUAUUCACUGUUUUGACUAUGUGGGGAUGACCUGAAUGUCUAGAACUUAAAGAAGUGAGACAAGGAACCACUUGACCUUGAGUAUCCUGCUCAACCAUUUAGAAUCCACACCCCAAGCCAAUUCUGCUGUUCACUCAGCAUCUCAGGCAGUUAAUUUCUGAAGUGAUAAAAUCUUAAAAAAAAAUGAAGUUGCAUUUCUACAACUUCAUUAAGUAUCUUAAAGGGCUCACUUAACAUUCUAAAAGUCAUUUUAUGACACUUCAUGGGAAAAAAUACAUACUCAGAUGAUAUCUGAGAUUGAAGUCUUGUAAAACUAUGCCACAUCUAAAAACAUUAAUAGAUUUCCUUAAACUGUUGGUGAUAGGAUAACCCAUGAGGAAGACCUAAGUUUUUCGAGUGAGUCCUAUAAAACUAUUCCUAAUUCUGAAAAGGAGGUUUUCUUUCAGUUGUCAAAAAAGUAAUAAUUUUGCUUUAUAAAUAAGUAAGAGAGCUUGGCAACUUGCUCAAAGUUAAACAGAACCUGUGGUUCUUUACCAUGUGGGGUCCCCCAAAACAGAUGCCAACUUCCUCAAAACCAGAAAAGGAUGGAGAGACUCAUCAAGGUGAACAUUACAGUCUUAUGCAAUCCAUCACCUCUGCUGUACUCUAUGAGUUAGAAGCAAAUGGUAGAUCCUGCCCACAGUCAAGGGUAUGAUAUCACACAAGGACAGAGAAACCAGGAGGUAUGGACCAGUGUGGGGCACCUCAGGAGUCUACCCAUUACAGGAGACAAAAAGGUUGGACAUCUUGUCUCCCCUUUCGUGUUACCAUUAUGUCCUCUCAACACCUUAAUCCAGGCCCACAUUAUUUCUUGCUCAUAUGUUACAACAGCCUCCAAAUUCUCCCCAUUUCUCUACUUGCUUCCUUACAAUGCACUUCGUACAGCAGCAAAAUUGUCUUCUUACAGUGGACAAGAAUCUUAGUCCCUCACUCAAGGGUGCAAAAAUGUCAUAUUUAACAUUUUUUUAAUUUAAAUUUAAAAAAUCUUUGUUAAGCUCCUUUCUGCCAGUCUACUGGGAUAUCCAGUCUCAAUUCUUGUUAACUUUUACCCUUAACUCAGGAUCAACCAUGGUUGCAGAGUCUUAAGCAUAGUCUUGGGUUCCCACUUGUUGCCAUGGAGGGAGUCACUCUCUAGGCUUCAGGUCCAGGGGAGGUACUGCCUCCAGGCCUUGCUGGGACAUAAAACUUAGGGCCUAGUGUCCAUCAUUCCUAGGUGUGGCAUGUGCCCAGCUGCUCUGAGGCUGUCGCAGGGAUACUGAUACCCAGUGGAACAUGUGUUCUUUCUGUCUUUGGGAUGGCCAUACCUUCUUGACCUAUGUUGGGAAUUUCUAUUUUCCCUCUCCUCUGCCCCUCUGAGUCGCCAAAAUAUUCAGCUUUUAUCAGAGUCAGGAGAUGUUGCUUUUGAGCAACUUAUGAUUUAGAAUACAUAAAUGGCCCUAAGACAGGGAAAUUAAAAGCCCAAUUUUCUGCUUGAGAUAGAGGGUAAACUACAUGGAGAGAAAAGCACACACAUUAAUAUUUCAAUUAAUUCUCUUGCACUUUAGUAAAGCUCAGUAAAUCUGCAUAUCCAUAGAGAAAGAUUACCUCCCUCACUUUGCCUUACUAACUUCUCCCAAAAGGAUGGGACUCAAGUAUCUGCUGUGAAGCAUCUUGCCCUGGAUAGGAACUCCCAUAUACAAAGCAAGACCUGCUUGUAUUCAUUUUCCUGGGUUCCCAAAUAAAGCAGGUGAGUGUAGGUAGAGAUGAAUUUCUCACUCCAUCCCACGCCCUUCUUAGAGACAUUCCCCUUGAAAAGAUUUCUUCUCAGCACUGGCUGCAUCCCACUGAGAGAAUUUGGCCCAGACCCUUCAUUCUCUGAUGAAACUUGCCUACAUCAGAUGAAGCUACAACUAGGGGUCUGUAUUCAGAUCUGAAUCUCUAGCAAUGUCUAACCUAUUCUGAGGACUCAUCACUCACUAAUCACUCAUCUCCCACCCUCAAAUUAGGAGGAAGGCUACACUAAGAAGGAAAGCAUGAUGUGGCUUCUGUGUAAGAUGCUAGAGCCUUUUCCUAUUUCCUUCUCUCCUCUACUAGACAAGACCUCGUGUUCCCUUAUCCUCAUCUGCACCACAAGAAUCUCAUUUCUUGCCUUCUUUUCUAUGUGUCAUUCACAAUAGCCUUUUAAUUUUUCUAUUGUACCACACUUCUUGCAGCUCCACAAUGUUACCACAUGUUAUUCUAAUUCAGUUAUUUCCAUUCAUCCAAUUCUCGCUGAAAUGCCCCAGCUUAACUCUCUGAGGGAAAGAAGGGAUAUAGGUGCCAGUAAAGAGUAGUUUCAUUGUCCGAUUCCUCUUUGAUUUCCUGAGAUCACUCCAAACCCUAGCAUGACUUUGUUUUGUCAUUGCUUGGAAUGAGUUCCCACUUUUUAAAGAAAAAAAUACUAUGAAAUAUUUGAAAGACAUAUGACACAUAUUUGACUCAGGUAAAGAUAUAAAAAAUGGUGAGAGUUCUCUUCAAAUAUGGUCUGCAAUAAAAUGCCCAUCUCUCACAAUUCUUUGGCACUUCCCUUACUGGCUGUGCUGAAUUUCCCACAAGUCCUUGACAUUUUAUUUAUUGGUUGUCUGGGAUUUGUUUUGCUUCUGACUCUGAGGAAUGCCAUGUCUAUGUGGCUCUGGUAUCCCAUACAAGUUACUUUCCCAUCAUGUGCUGCAAUAGCAGAUUAAUAGACCUAUUUGAUGGGUUGUGAGACAUGACGUCUGUGGCAGCUGGCUUUUGGGGAACCCAUAGAAGGGUGGUUGCACUUUAUAGCCCAGAGUUCAGCUCAGAAGUGGUCAGUGUUGCUUUAGCAACUGUCUUUCUGAAGAAACACAGAUAUGGUGGAGUUACUAAAUGGACACAUCUGCAAUGUUCUCCUGUGCUUGAGGAGGUUAUCCACUAUUUCCUUCUCCUUCCCUUCACCUGAACAACUUCAGCUGUUGAAGGGGAGCAUCAGAGGGGUUUUUAAUCUAUAUUUAUUUUCUGUGUCAGCACCAUACUGUUUUGAUGACUGUAGCUUUGUAGUAUAAUCUGAAGUCAGAUUAUAGAAAAGCCCAGAAAUAAACCCAUGAACCUGUGGCCAACUAAUCUAGGACAAAGGAGUCAAGACUAUAUAAUGGAGAAAAAAAAAUCUCUUCAAUAAGUGAUGCUGAGAAAACCAGACAGCUACAUGUAAAAGAAUGAAAUUAGAAUAUUCUCUAACACCAUACACAAAAAUAUACUCAAAACAGAUAAAAGACCUAAACAUAAUACCAGAUACUAUAAAACUCUUAGAGGAAAAUAUAGGCAGAACACUCUUUGACAUAAACUGCAGGAAUAUCUUUUCAGAUCCACCUCCUAGAGUAAUGAAAAUAAAAAUAAACAAAUGAGACCUACUUAAAAGUUUUUGCACAGCAAAGAAAGCCAUAAACAAAAUGAAAAGACAACCCACAGAAUGGGUGAAAAUAUUUAUAAACAAUGUGACUGACAAGGGAUUAAUCUCUAAAAUAUCAAAAAACUCAUGCAGCUCAAUACCAAAUAAACAACAAACACCACAAUCAAAAAAUGGGCAGAAGCUCUAAAUAGACAUUUCUCAAAAAAAUGACAUAUAGAUAGCCAGAAAAUACAUGAAAAUAUGCUCAACAUAGCUAAUGAUUAGAGAGAUCUAAAUCAAAACUACAGUGGGAUAUCACCUCAUAACAAUUAUAAUGGCCAUCAUCAAAAAUCUACAAACAAUAAAUGGUGGAGAGGGUGCAGAGAAAAGGGAACACUCAUACACUGUUGGUGGGAAUGUAAAUUGGUAUACCAGUAUGGAAGACAGUAUGGAGGUUCCUCAAAAUAUUAAAAAUAGAACUAUCAUAUGAUCCAGCAAGCCCACUCCUGGGCAUCUAUCCAGAGAAGACCAUAAUUUGAAAAGAUACAUGCACCACAAUAUUCACUGCAGCACUAUGUACACUAGCUAAGACACAGAAGCAACCUAAAUGUCCAUUGACAGAGGAAUGGAUAAAGAAGAUGUGGUACAUACGUACAAUGGAAUAUUACUCAGCCAUAAAAAGAAUGAAGGCAGAGUUCCUGUCAUGGCACAGUGGUUAACAAAUCCGACUAGGAACCAUGAGGUUGCAGGUUUGGUCCCUGCCCUUGCUCAGUGGGUUAACGAUCUGGCGUUGCCAUGAGCUGUGGUGUAGGUUGCAGACACGGCUCGGAUCCCGCGUUGCUGUGGCUCUGGCGUAGGCCAGUGGCUACAGCUCCGAUUCGACCCCUAGCCUGGGAACCUCCAUAUGCCAUGAGAGCGGCCCAAAGAAAUAGCAAAAAAAAAAAAAAAAAAAA
rnacentral:lncRNA from 9 species